rnacentral:tRNA from 1 species
GGGACAGUAGCUCAGUUGGUAGAGCAAUACAAAGGUGCAAUUUUCUUUAUUGAAGGACAAGCAUUUUUUACUUCUUUUUGUGUCGCAGGUUCGAUUCCUGCCUGUCCCC